UCUUCUCUCAUAAUAUCUCAUUAUAUUCUACAGAGCUGGCCGAAGCAUUAGGCACCGUGGAUGCAAUGAAAUCUGCCUCUCUGGCAACAUUGCUCCUAAGCAAAAUAUAUUGAUUGCUGAAGCUUUGGACCCCACUUUAAUCAAGUAAUCUAAACAGGGCUUAAGCUUCAAAAGCCAAGCAAUGUGCCCAGCUUCAAAGCUCUUACUUAUACACUGAAUUAAUUUAUCCCGGAUAGACUAAUGCUUCUUUCUGCCCCGAGGAUUAUAAUGUUAGAGGUUGCAAUCCCAGCUUUAAUAAUAGCCCUGAAGUCCAUCCUCUAUUGAUAGUUAUGUAAAAAUGCACAAAGAGGGAGGACCAGAGAGGAGGGGAAGAGGAGACAAAUGGGUUGGGGUAGGGUGGCAAGACCGACACAGCGCUGUGCAAGCAGGGCUCUUCUGGACAGCAGAAGACAUGGAGUUUUGUGGCUUUGCUUCAGACUCUCUAACUGGGGCUGGGGUCGGAGGCAGAGUAGAGCUAUGCUAACCAGAGAUUUGCUUUAGAAAGCUCCCGAUGUGAUUUAGAAGUAGCCAGAGAGGAGUUAGCUUUUAUGCUACAAGGGGUGGGGAAGCUGGACAUUCAUGAUGAAGGCCAAACUGCCAAUCAUAUCCCUUCCCAUAGCUGUCCCUCACUGCAAGAACUCAGGGCACCAGUGGUCCUUAACCUCAGCCCCUUCUUACUUCCCAGAGCUCGAGCCCAGAACCUCUUCCAGCACUGUUUUGAGAACUUGCGAUGUAACAGACUUUAUUCUAGGGGAUAAGGCAGUGAACAGCAUAGGGGGAGGCUUUGGUCUUGUGAAUUUUUUUUUUUUUUUGCUCUGGUGCAAGAAGGAGAAGGAGGAGAAGGAGAAGAAAGAGGAGAGGGAGGAGGAGGAGGAAGGAAGGAAGAAAGGAAGGAAGGAAGGAAGGAAGGAAGGAAGGAAGGAAGGAAAACAGGCAUCAUCUCAGUGUCUGAUUAUCGCCUUGUGGUAAAAUGUGCUCUAGAUAAAACCAAAACACAGAAAGUGUUAGGGACCAUAACAUAGGCUGACUUUAAGAUUCUAUUUUUAUUUUAUGUGUUUAAGUGUUUGUGUGUGUGUGUGUGUGUGUGUGUGUGUGUGUGUGUGUGUGUGUGUGUGUGUGUGUAGUACACCAUGUGCAUGCAGUACUUGUAAAGGCCAGAAGAGGGCGUCUGAUCCCAUGGAACUGGAGUUAAACGCCUGAGCUGCCCUGUGGGUACUGGGAACUGAACUCAGGUCCUUUAUGAGAACAGCUGGUGCUCUUAACCACUGAACCAUCUCUCCAGCCCUGUUCCAGCCCUGUGAUUUUAGUUUUAAAUCCAGCGCUCGGAGGAGGUUACAGUUGAUAGAGCUCAGGGAAGUAUACAAGAGAGCUGCACAGAGUUCUCUGCGAAGAGCCAGCACACCUGGGAUGUCCGAGGAACAGGAAGACAGACACAUGUGUCUGGCACAAGGCAAGCAAGAGAGUGGGUGAAAUUAUGUAAAACCAAAGGAUACAAAGGUUCCGAUGAAGUUCAAAUUGUGUUUACUUUAUUUAGUUAUCCUGGCCACGGUGGUUAGUUCAGGGGUGGCCAGAGACAAACAUGAAGGAUAUACAGACUGAGUGAUCCACAGCCAUUGUGACACCAUGAAGAGACCAAAGAUAAAGCCAUAAGAGAGGACAGUGGAACCCAGAGAUGAGGGACAAGACUUGAGACCCUGAAUCCUACAAACCUCAUAUCCCAGGUACUUGGGUUUAUGGGAUCCAAUAAAUCUUCCUUUUAAACUAAAGUGUUUUUGGAUUUCUUAGGAAGACAAAUGCUACAUCCACUGAAGUCCGACCACUUGACACCAACUUCAGAGGUAGAGCAUGGGGCAGAAUCAUCCGUUUUCUCUCUGUCAGGUGCUGGAGCCCAUCUGGCUCUCAGAGAGAGAACCUUACGCCUAAGGCCAUAAUGCCUUCUUCCUUUCCUCUACCUUUGAAAUGCAAUGGAAUGGGGUAUUGUAAACUCAGAAGCCCAUUCAACUUCCUGCUUGCCCCCUCUCAGCCUAUCUCCUCCAAGUUGCCCAGGCCUAUUGGUCCUUGUGUUCUUGGAGCAGAAGAGACCACUGGUGUUUAAUGAGAUCUACAUAGGAAGGCACUGGUAGCUCAAUCACUCCUCCUACCAUGAUGCUGUAUAAUGGAUACCCAGCUCUCAUGGUCUGUGCUCACAUCUAUGUGCUACUGAAGUUUUUCAGUAUAUGUGGUGGUUACCGAUUGUCAGCUUGAAGAAAUUUAGAAUCGCUAUGGGGAAAAAAAAUCCUUUGGCAUGUCUGUGAGGGAUUUUUCUUGACUAUAUUAACUGAGGCGGGGAGACCUACAGCCUCAGGCUGUGGUCUCCGGUGAAAAAGUUGAGUUGAGCACCAGCCUUCACAUCUCUCUGCUUCCUCACCAGGGACAAAAUGUGACCAGCUGCUUCAAGUUCCUGCUGCCAUGAUUCUGUCACCACCCACAGUAGACCAUACCCUCCAGCUGCUACUCAAAGCAAACCCUUUCCUUCCCUAAGUUGCUUUUCGUUGGGUAUUUUUAUCAUAGCAAUGGUACGUAAGACAUACAGCCUUCAGGGUUUUUUGUAUGCAGGUAUAUUGUGGAAACAAUGAUACAAAUAACAAAUACAGGAAAUUAAUACCAGGAAUGGGGUAAUUAAUACCAGGAAUAGUCCUUAAGCUUCAGGACUGGUUUCAGGAGGAAUGUUGAAGAGUUUGGAACUUUGGGUAACAGAUCCCUAAAAUCUUGAUUGGCCAUUCUGGUGGGAGCUUGGAAGACAGGACUGGGGAGAAGUGAGUGAAGGGAGUGGAGGCCUCGCUGACAAGGCUUCAAAUGAGAACAUAGAUCCAUUGGGGUCUGGGUUACAUUCUGGCCCAAAUCAGACUGCAUUCUACCUGUGCCUUGAGAACUUUACUGAGUCUGGAAUUAAAAAUGAACUAUUGUGUUUGGUAGGUGAUAUUUUGAGGCAGAAUAGCAUUCAGGCUGUGCCAUAGUUAAUGCUCACUACUCUCAUCCAGGUCUAUAGGGAAGAAAAGCAGCAGGCAGGGCAGGUGUGAAGAUGUUCAGUUCUGGAAAGGAGCACCAGCAAGUUUAAAGUUGCAGCUGAGGUGGUGAUGAAAUACCAACUGUAAUUCUCAAGGGGAAAAUUCCACCCUGCUUGGGGACAACAGGAAAGAUGCUUUCAAGAUCUGGAUGGAGAACUCUCAGCUACUUCCCAGCACCGUGUUUGCCUGCAUGCUGCCAUGUUUUCUUGCCACGAAGAUAAUGGACCAAACCUCUGAAACUUGGCUGAGGAGCUCUGAAGUGGGCCUUUACUCUCAUUUUAACGACUGCAGGCUCAGCUAGUCCAAUGUUUCUCAACUUCCACAGUCACCUAAACUCACUUGAACAGAUUUAAAAGCAGCAGCAGCGGCGGCAGCAGCAGCAGCAACAAAAACCCAGUGCCCACACAGCAUCUCAGACUACAUCAGGACUUGGGGGAGAGACAGUCUCAGUCUGUUAGCCACCAUUGCAACUUCUGAUUGCAAGCCUCUGAUGCUCCCUUGGUUUCCUCUGUGGUUUGUUUGUUACCACUUAUUUUUAUUUACACAUACCUUGGAUGCAAACUUUAGUUCCAAGCAAUCUUUAUAUUUGAUAUUAUUUACUCGUAUAAGUUGCCUCAAGUCCUCUUGGGGCAAGAUGUGAUGUACAGACAGAAUGAUAACCCUCUGCCUGGCUACGUGACAUUCAAAAUGUGGCCUGGUUUCAUCUGGGAAGGCUGAGUCUGCCUUCAGUGACUGGAAGAUUCUCUGAGUGGAGAGUUCGGGGCCUGAAUGAAGUAACUUCCAGGAACACAUCUUGCUAUUUUUGUCUUGGUCAUGUGAGUGAAACCUGACCUGCUAAGUAAAACUCUGUGCUGAUCUCUGGCUGAGGAAGACAGAUCUGAGCCUUCCAGGUGAGAAUUGCUAAAACGCUCCCGGUGGCAACCAAAGUCAGUUCCUGGAUUGGACACCAGGUGGCGCUAGUCCCAGGGUACGCGGAGGAGGGCAUGCGCUGCUUCCCUUUUACCAGAGAGCCACCAUUUGAAUUUGUACCCUUUCCUUUUGCCUCUGGCACUCUUUAAUCUCCCAUUGGCUGUGUAUAAGUGCAAAUAGAGCAGGUGACCAGAAGACUGGAUCUUGUUUGAAACCCCAUGUACAAAGUCAACUGUUGAUGGGGACAGAGAGGAAGAAACUGAACAGCAAAGCCUUGCUUGACUAAAAGAAGAACAGGGGACAGCAGGGACUAUGAAGCAUGGUGCAGAGAGCAUUAGAGGACUUGGGCACUAGAGUUGGCAUGUGUGAGCCGUCUGAAGGGAGAUGAUGCCUCCAAUGGAUAACCUUUUCUGCUUUGAAGUUUUGAGCAAGGAUAUCACCCUUCACCUGGUUCAAAUAGAACCUUUAAAUUUAGUGUUAUUGCACUCAUGUGGACCAGGUAAGGGCGGGCACAUUGGCUAAAAGCAAACGGUAUUUAGAGAAGUUAGGUGUCAUGCUAGCACUUGGACCUAGUCUCUUUUCUGUUGCUGUCACAGAGCACCUUAACAAAACAAAGCUUAGAGGAGAAAGUUUAUUUUAAUGUACA